AACAUUGUUCUGUUGAAUUUUGAAAUGCACGAAGAAGGAGACAUUUAAUUGUAAUGUAUAGUAAUCUUGAAGUGCUUAAUACCAUAGCCACAAAUUUAAAUUAAAAACACCAGUGGUACAAUUAAACACUGGUCCGGAGCUACUUCAAACAACAUGCCACUAGAGUGCUAUCUACACGUUUCAAUCGUACAUUUUAAUAUGGAGAUACCAUAUAACUCUACCUCAAAUGACGUGAUAUCAGAGUGCAAUAUGCAUGUGCUAGUUUUACAAAAAGUAGUUUGGAGCUAGAAAAUGAGUUUACCUCAAUUGAUAUGUGUUCAAUGAUACAAAUGAAGAGGAUGUAAAUAAGUUUAUUGGACUACCAAAAGGUAACAAAGAAAGACAUAAGAUUAUCGGACUAAGGCGAAGAGGCAAUUGUUUAUAUAAUAAAUAUCCCAUGUAUAAUAAGGAAGGACUCAUAGUUUGUAGAAGACCAACAGAAUCAAGAAAAAAAGCUGCACAUGAUUUCAUAUGUUGUGCUGGAUGUAAGGGCUUUUUUACUAAGAACAAUGUACGAGUUUACGAUUAUUAAGGCAAUUUUUACAAGCCAUUGAAAAAUUAAUAAUGUCACAGGUUUUUAUAGUAUUUAUCAUCCAUCAAUAUAUGAUGACUGUCUUGUGUUAAAUUUGACUUACUUUAUAUGCUAAAUCUUACGUAUUUAUUGCAAGUUAUUUUUAUUAUUUACAACCAAACAUCAAGAAAAUCUAAAUCUGCUAAAAAUAUAUUUUUUAAGGCGUUUUUCUAAAUACAGUAAAUUUUUUAAAUUAUAUAUACAAAAAUAUUUGCGUUGUAAUGUAAGAAAAACUAAAAUUAUGUUUUUAUGUGUAUUUCAUUUGUAGUCAAAUUAUCAUUGUUAAUUUGCGAGUUAUUUUCUUCAUUAUUUUGUUGAAAAUCAUUAUCUUUAUCUUGUGCUAUUUUAAGUAACCAAGACAUUUUAACUAUUUCAACAUUGAACAUUGCUUAAAAUACUUCUGCAAUAAAUACAUAAGGUUUGGCAUAUAAAGUAAGUCAAAUUUGACACAAAACAGUCAUCAUAUAUUGAUGGAUGAUAAAUAUAUACUAUAAAAAUCUGUGGUAUUUUUAUUAAUUAUUUUGAUAGCUUGUAAAAAUUUGAUUGUGGAAGAGAUUGACGAUAAUGUUGCAUGUGGAUGUUUUUGUUAUGACCUAGAUAAUUUGCUAAUACUGUCACAUCAGGAUCUGAUAGAUUUAAUGUAAUGCAUCUUGUUGCGAUAUGCUUACGAAGCUUUGUAUCUCUUAAUCUAAGAGGCAUACUUGCUCCACACUAUAGAAUAUGUGCGUAAUAAAUCACAAGCUCUUAUGUAUCUAAAGCCUUUGGCACACGAUACGAUUUUUCAGGCUAGAUCGCAUACGAGAUCUUAUUACAUGUCCUGAUUGGCUCAAAUGAUUAUACUACCUAUCAAUUGUAACCCAAUUGUAAGACGCCUCGUAUGCUGAUGAAAAAUCGUAUCAUGUGCCGAAGGCUUAAUCUCUUCAUCAUAAUCUGGUAAAGCGAAGAUGUAUGAGUGUCCGUCAGGUAUUUUUGCUUCUUUACGGUAAUGUAAAAGCAAAUCUAUAUAAUUUUUCAUUUCGGAAUACAAAAGAACAGGUACAGGUCUUCCUAAUUUUUCUCUAACAAAUCUUAUUUUUAAUUUUUACACUCACAUUUAAUUUUUAAAAUAAAUAUGUAAUUGUUAAUUUCAGAUAGCUAUGAUAUCUUACAUAUUUCAGUGUAAUGCAUCUUGUUGCAAUAUGCUUACGAAGCUUUGUACCUCUUAAUCUAAGAGGCAUACUUGCUCCACACGCUACAAAAUAUGUGCGUAAUAAAUCACAAGCUCUUAUAUAUCUAAACCUCUUUUUAUCGUAACCUGGUAAAGCGAAGAUGUAUAGGUUUGCGUCAGGUAUUUUUGCUUCUUUACGGUAAUGUAAGAGCAAAUCUAUACAACUUUUCAUUUCGGAAUCCAAAA
rnacentral:lncRNA from 1 species